GCCCCUUAUGACCUGGGCUACACACGUGCUACAAUGGUUGGUACAACGAGUUGCGAGUCGGUGACGGCAAGCUAAUCUCUUAAAGCCAAUCUCAGUUCGGAUUGUAGGCUGCAACUCGCCUACAUGAAGUCGGAAUCGCUAGUAAUCGCGGAUCAGAAUGCCGCGGUGAAUACGUUCCCGGGCCUUGUACACACCGCCCG
rnacentral:ncRNA from 1 species